rnacentral:ncRNA from 1 species
ACAAUGAUACUUCUGUCCAGCCGUAGACCUCGCUUAAAAGGCGUGUAUGCAAGCAUCGGGGACAGUCCGGGCAGAGCGCCGGGAAGGUGAAAUUCCUAUGG